UUUCGGAUCGUAAAGCUCUGUUGUUAGGGAAGAACAAGUGCGAGAGUAACUGCUCGCACCUUGACGGUACCUAACCAGAAAGCCACGGCUAACUACGUGCCAGCAGCCGCGGUAAUACGUAGGUGGCAAGCGUUGUCCGGAAUUAUUGGGCGUAAAGGGCUCGCAGGCGGUUUCUUAAGUCUGAUGUGAAAGCCCCCGGCUCAACCGGGGAGGGUCAUUGGAAACUGGGAAACUUGAGUGCAGAAGAGGAGAGUGGAAUUCCACGUGUAGCGGUGAAAUGCGUAGAGAUGUGGAGGAACACCAGUGGCGAAGGCGACUCUCUGGUCUGUAACUGACGCUGAGGAGCGAAAGCGUGGGGAGCGAACAGGAUUAGAUACCCUGGUAGUCCACGCCGUAAACGAUGAGUGCUAAGUGUUAGGGGGUUUCCGCCCCUUAGUGCUGCAGCUAACGCAUUAAGCACUCCGCCUGGGGAGUACGGUC
rnacentral:rRNA from 1 species